GGAAGCGUGGGUGAGUUGGCUUAAACCAGUAGUUUGCUAAAUUGCCGUAGGGGUAACUCUACCGUGGGUUCGAAUCCCACCGCUUCCGCCA
rnacentral:tRNA from 2 species